rnacentral:rRNA from 1 species
AUUGGGUAGGGGAGCGUUCUGUAAGCGGUUGAAGGUGUGUGGUAACGCAUGCUGGACGUAUCAGAAGUGCGAAUGCUGACAUGAGUAACGAUAAAGGGGGUGAAAAACCUCCUCGCCGGAAGACCAAGGGUUCCUGUCCAACGUUAAUCGGGGCAGGGUAAGUCGACCCCUAAGGCGAGGCCGAAAGGCGUAGUCGAUGGGAAACGGGUUAAUAUUCCCGUACUUCUUACAAUUGCGAUGGGGGGACGGAGAAGGCUAGGUGGGCCUGGCGACGGUUGUCCAGGUUCAAGUGCGUAGGCUUAAGAGUUAGGUAAAUCCGGCUCUUUUUAAGGCUGAGACACGACGUCGAGCACCUACGGGUGUGAAGUCAUUGAUGCCAUGCUUCCAGGAAAAGCCUCUAAGCUUCAGAUUGUAAGGAAUCGUACCCCAAACCGACACAGGUGGUCGGGUAGAGAAUACCAAGGCGCUUGAGAGAACUCGGGUGAAGGAACUAGGCAAAAUGGUACCGUAACUUCGGGAGAAGGUACGCUCUUGAUGGUGAAGUCCCUC